UACGAAGGGGGCUAGCGUUGUUCGGAAUCACUGGGCGUAAAGGGUGCGUAGGCGGGUCUUUUAAGUCAGGGGUGAAAUCCUGGAGCUCAACUCCAGAACUGCCUUUGAUACUGAGGAUCUUGAGUACGGGAGAGGUGAGUGGAACUGCGAGUGUAGAGGUGAAAUUCGUAGAUAUUCGCAAGAACACCAGUGGCGAAGGCGGCUCACUGGCCCGUAACUGACGCUGAGGAGCGAAAGCGUGGGGAGCGAACAGG
rnacentral:rRNA from 1 species